AUCCCGAAACCUGAUUUAAAAGAAAAAGAAAAAGAAAGAAAGAGGAUUUGAGAAAGAGAGAGACUUUCAAGGUAUUCAAGACAGACUUUGAGAGCAACCUUCCAGACGCUCAAGAAGAGAAAGAUAGAGACAAACAUCAUCCAGAUAGCUAUUUUUUAGGAUUGGAUUGAAGAUUCAAAGGAAAGAAGAAGGAGAUCUUGAACCGUAG
rnacentral:lncRNA from 1 species